rnacentral:tRNA from 1 species
UGGCUCAAUGGUAAGAGCACUGGCUGCUUUUCCAGAGGUCUGGGUUCAAUUCCUAG